UUUCGCCUUCCGUGUGCAGAUGCACUUUUGCAACUGGUUGUGCCGCGAUAAUUCUUGUGAGAAAAAAGAAUUUACGUUGACCUGAUUCCUACCUAUUUCUUUGUUUAAGUUUUUCAGCCAUGCCUGCGAGUUGGUUAUAAUGUGCGGGCUGCGUUACAAAUCGUUCGAAUGCAUGCUGAAAAAUCAUAACCGAGGUACAGAAUUUGCCAGGAUGUACCGUCGCGACUGACUUUGUAGAAGGUCAAAAAAGUCGCCAAACCUAACUUGACGCGUCACCGCAAUUUCCAUUCAUUCUUUCGUUGCCGCCGUUUCUAUACGACGUAGUUGUUCAGCAAAAAACGUAUACAAUGAAAGUUAAAGUUACGAGUCACCAGCACCCCCCAAUCUCACCUGCCUGGAAUUGUUUACGUAUGAUCUGUGGGCCACCUCGGGAGCUUUCGGUCGUCCAGUGGUACCGGAAGUGAAUUGAAUAACCAUGCCGCUCCCGGGAGAGAUUUCACCCUGUUCAGCACCGAUGGCUUCCACUUCAAUGCUGCUGGCCAGGGACUCGACGUCGACGAAUCUCCUGGUGCCACUGUGAUGGAUGACAUUUUUUAGGAAAAAUUAAUUAAAAUCCACUCACGAAAGUUAAUCCCGAGUGUUAUUCUUCACAUCUAUAUGUAAUCUGCGUGUGUAAUUUGAACGAAUAAUUGUUCAAACUUU
rnacentral:lncRNA from 1 species